rnacentral:rRNA from 1 species
CUUGACAUACCGAUGACAGGUCUAGAGAUAGAUUUUCCCUUUUAGGGCAUCGGAUACAGGUGUGCAUGGUUGUCGUCAGCUCGUGUCGUGAGAUGUUGGGUUAAGUCCCGCAACGAGCGCAACCCCUAUUGUUAGUUGCCAUCAUUAAGUUGGGCACUCUAGCGAGACUGCCAGUAAUAAACUGGAGGAAGGUGGGGAUGACGUCAAAUCAUCAUGCCCCUUAUGACCUGGGCUACACACGUGCUACAAUGGGAAGUACAACGAGUUGCGAGGCGGUGACGCCAAGCUAAUCUCUUAAAGCUUCUCUCAGUUCGGAUUGUAGGCUGCAACUCGCCUACAUGAAGUCGGAAUCGCUAGUAAUCGCGGAUCAGCACGCCGCGGUGAAUACGUUCCCGGGCCUUGUACACACCGCCCGUCACACCACGAGAGUUUGUAACACCCGAAGUCGGUGAGGUAACCGUAAGGAGCCAACCGCCUAAGGUGGGAUAGAUGAUUGGGGUGAAGUCGUAACAAGGUAGGCGUAGAUGA